CCUACGGGGGGCAGCAGUGGGGAAUAUUGCACAAUGGGGGAAACCCUGAUGCAGCGACGCCGCGUGAGUGAAGAAGUAAUUCGUUACGUAAAGCUCUAUCAGCAGGGAAGAAAAUGACGGUACCUGAGCAAGAAGCACUGGCUAACUACGUGCCAGCAGCCGCGGGAUUACGCAGGGGGCAAGCGUUAUCCGGAUUUACUGGGUGUAAAGGGAGCGUAGACGGUAUGUCAAGUCUGGGGUGAAAUCCCGCAGCUUAACGGGGGAACUGCUUUGGAAACUGGCGAACUGGAGUGCGGGAGGGGUAAGUGGAAUUGCUAGUGUAGCGGUGAAAUGCGUAGAUAUUAGGAGGAACACCAGUGGCGAAGGCGACUAACUGGACCGUAACUGACGUUGAGGCGCGAAAGCGUGGGGAGCAAACAGGAUUAGAUACCCCGGUAGUC
rnacentral:rRNA from 1 species